CUCCGAUCGCGGCAAGACCAGUUCCUCUACUCCUCUGUGGUAUGAUACUUCCCGACAAUGUUCAACCUGCCCCAGGAAUGAAAACGGGUGCUCUUUGUCUCUCGGAAUCUGAUUUCAUGGACAGCUAUGGAAAUAGAUAAAGGAGACCCAGAUAUCUGAGAUGGAAAAAUCUCUAAGCUAUAUGGUGAAUGGAGACAGAGGAGGCGGAAUGCUUUACAGAGAAGAAACCAGCGAUGUAGACCGUUAUCUGUUGGCACAGACUAUUGUUUUUGGAGAAGCCAUCCAAAGAAACUGGAGACAAAGACUUCACUGGGGAGAACACAGAGGACUUGGUGUAAGGAGACAUAUUUUUCAUUCUAUGCCCUUUUGGCAUUUGGUUUUGCCUGUUUUGACCCUACAGAAAUACAACUCAAAGUUAAACAAGAAGAAUGGCAAACAAAGAAACAAGAUGGUGGUGAUAUUUUUGGUUGAGAUGAAUGAGAAAUGGGGGUGACUGGGAGUCCUGGUUUUAUAGCAAAGUGAGCAUUUUGGGGUCUCCCAGGAUGGGGUGACAGGGAUUAAAGGAGAGCAGGAAAAAAUUUUCUGCAUCCUGGAAACCAGCAACUAGCAUGGCAUCUUUCUUUCUGUACCAAAAAUACCCUGUUCAAUCCCAAGGCUAAUAAACAAGUACAUGCCUGUUCCUGA